GAUGAACGCUGGCGGCGUGCUUAACACAUGCAAGUCGAACGGAAAGGCUCCUGCUUGCAGGGGUACUCGAGUGGCGAACGGGUGAGUAACACGUGGGUGAUCUGCCCUGCACUUCGGGAUAAGCCUGGGAAACUGGGUCUAAUACCGGAUAGGACGAUGGUUUGGAUGCCAUUGUGGAAAGUUUUUCGGUGUGGGAUGAGCUCGCGGCCUAUCAGCUUGUUGGUGGGGUAAUGGCCUACCAAGGCGUCGACGGGUAGCCGGCCUGAGAGGGUGUACGGCCACAUUGGGACUGAGAUACGGCCCAGACUCCUACGUGAGGCAGCAGUGGGGAAUAUUGCACAAUGGGCGCAAGCCUGAUGCAGCGACGCCGCGUGGGGGAUGACGGCCUUCGGGUUGUAAACUCCUUUCGCUAGGGACGAAGCGCAAGUGACGGUACCUGAAGAAGAAGCACCGGCUAACUACGUG
rnacentral:rRNA from 1 species